AGAGUUUGAUCCUGGCUCAGGAUGAACGCUGGCGGCGUGCCUAAUACAUGCAAGUCGAGCGGUAACACUUCGGGUGACGAGCGGCGGACGGGUGAGUAACACGUGGGAACAUACCCCAGACUGAGGGAUAAGCCAGAGAAAUCUGGUCUAAUACCGCAUAACCUCUACGGAGAAAAGCUUCGGAGGUUUGGGAAUGGCCUGCGUCUGAUUAGCUAGUUGGUAAGGUAAAAGCUUACCAAGGCGAUGAUCAGUAGCUGGUUUGAGAGGAUGAUCAGCCACACUGGAACUGAGACACGGUCCAGACUUCUACGGAAGGCAGCAGUAGGGAAUCUUCCACAAUGGACGAAAGUCUGAUGGAGCAACGCCGCGUGCAGGAUGAAUGCCUUCGGGUUGUAAACUGCUUUUAUAGGUGAAGAAUAUGACGGUAACCUAUGAAUAAGGAUCGGCUAACUCCGUGCCAGCAGCCGCGGUCAGACGGAGGAUCCAAGCGUUAUUCGGAAUGACUGGGCGUAAAGAGUUGCGUAGGUGGCUUUAUAAGCGUGUGAUGAAAUUUUGGGGCUCAACCCCAAAACUGUUAUGCGAACUGUGAAGCUAGAGUAUAUGAGGGGUAGCUGGAAUUCCUAGUGUAGGAGUGAAAUCCGUAGAUAUUAGGAGGAACACCAAUGGCGUAGGCAGGCUACUGGCAUAUUACUGACACUAAGGCACGAAAGCGUGGGGAGCGAACGGGAUUAGAUACCCCGGUAGUCCACGCCGUAAACGAUGGAUGCUAGCAGUUUGAGGUAUCGACCCCUUGAGUUGCGAAGCUAACGCGUUAAGCAUCCCGCCUGGGGAGUACGGUCGCAAGAUUAAAACUCAAAGGAAUUGACGGGGACCCGCACAAGCGGUGGAGCGUGUUGUUUAAUUGGAUGAUAAGCCAAGAACCUUACCCAGACUUGACAUCCUUGGAAGGCCUACGAAAGUAGACUGUGCCUUUUAGGAACCAAGUGACAGGUGUUGCAUGGCCGUCGUCAGCUCGUGUCGUGAGAUGUUGGGUUAAGUCCCGCAACGAGCGCAACCCUUAUGUUUAGUUGAAUUUUUCUAGACAGACUGCCUCGGUAACGGGGAGGAAGGAGGGGAUGAUGUCAGGUCCGUAUUACCCUUACGUCUGGGGCUACAAACACGCUACAAUGGACAGUACAAUGGGCAGCCAAGUCGCGAGACGGAGCAAAUCCCACCAAAGCUGUUCUCAGUUCGGAUAGCAGGCUGAAACUCGCCUGCUUGAAGUCGGAAUCGCUAGUAACCUGCGAGUCAGCACAUCGCGGUGAAUACGUUCCCGGGUCUUGUACACACCGCCCGUCACACCACGAAAGUCGCCAACACCCGAAGUACGACGUUUGUCGUCCUAAGGUGGGGGAGGUGAUUGGGGUGAAGUCGUAACAAGGUAACCGUA
rnacentral:rRNA from 1 species